AAUCAUAAUGGGUGCAUAUUUUGUUGUUAAUAUUCCAACAUUUCGAACGUCUCCCCACUUGGGCACACCCAUACCGAGCUUUCCUCCGUAUUCACAUCAGAAUAAACUUGAGAGUUACAUCAUCUCUCACGGUGACUAGAGUUCCUGCAAUCCCUAUAACUCUCACCGUUCCUACAUCUCAAGAAAUUUCAUCAUCUUUCGCGGUGCCUAGAGUUCCUACAGUCCCUAUAACUCUCACCGUUCCUAUAUCUCUCAGAGUUAUCCUAACCGAAAUACGGGGAUCGAACUAUUCGUGGUGUCGAUUAUUCUAAUCGUAACAGGAAUUUACGACUCCCGUUGACGCGUAUUCUAACGACCGCGUCUCCCCGCGAUAGCUCGAAAAUACAUUGGGCAUAUAUUUUUUUGUGCCGUACAGUUCCAACGACAUGCAUCCUAAACUUUAAAAAUUUCACUGCUAACUGAUAGCUCGUAUAAAAGUUGUUGACGGACAAAGCUCGUCCUUCAUUUAGCAAUUCAGCUGCAAGUUCAAUGCAGACGUUUUCAGCCAUGCUAACUUGCUUACUUCCGGUGAUUUCUCGUCUAGAAUAUACUUUUGCAGACCAUGUGUAACCUUCGGUGAAACACAGUUUGUAUAGUUUUAUAUCAUACUUAUGUGAUUUCGUCGGUAUGUACUGCCGGAAUGUUAGUCGUCCCCUCCAAGGAACCAUUGUCUCGUUGACUAUAAUAUUGCCUGGUGAAAAAAUUUGUUUGUAACUGUCUAUCAAUAUGUUUAUGAGUGGUAAAACUUUUUUGCUAAUAGCAAUUCAAAACGAUUACAUUAUGUAACAAGCGGUGUCUGUACUAGACCCAUCCAAACCAUUAGUUCGAUAAAUUUUAUAAUUUCUUUGGAAGUGGUGGGUUUCCGUCUCCUAUGUCGAGUUUGAUCGAUCACUUCAUGUUGAUGUAAUUUUUAUUCUACAUAUCUAUUAGUCUCUGUAACUAAAAGGCUUAGCACUUUUUCAUCAACGAAUAACGAAAGCACUUAUUUGCGCUAAUGUCAAACGGCAAAUCCAUCAGAAGUCCGCUUUUUCCGGUGAACGGAAACGUCUGUUGCCUGUUAGCGAAUUCAUUCCAUUGAAUAUUGUUCAAUGAAUUAUCAAUAGAGUUGAAUUUCUCUUCUUCGUCUAUGGCAAGUUCUUCCAACAUGUCUUUGAUGUCUUCGCCUGCAAAUGCUUCCUCAAUAUC
rnacentral:misc_RNA from 1 species